rnacentral:lncRNA from 1 species
AUUUGUGAAUAAUGAAGUGGCUUGGUAGCAGAACAUACUUAUCUGUGCUGCAUAACCUACAGUUUCAGUUUGCCCGAGCUUAGGUUUUACGAGCUUUUUGAAGGUUUUCAAGCAAUGCACAGGGAGUUAGGAGAGCAUGGAAAGCUUGCUCUCUGUCAGCUCCUGUUCCAAACAGCUGUGCCUGCAAUAGGCUGAGGUGCUCCUUCCUUAUCUGGAGUAGGGAGAAAUUGUUUAAUACUAAUGAAUGAAACAGAUAGGAAGACAAGCGAACAGCUAAAUGGUAUUUGAGACUAUGGCACAAGUGUUGGCUGUGUGUCGGGAGAAGUGGGUAUUAUUAAAAGAGACUGGAAUUAAAAAGGGGAGUGUGCUUACUCGCACAAUGUGAAGGAAGGACCGCUGUAUGUUAACGGGGAAGAUGCGAGCAAAAGAUUAUGGUACUAGGCGGCUGGGAGCGAAUGCUACGAGAGAAACCGAUUUGCACUGGUUUAUUGAGCAAGAAGUGGGGAAGCGAGGGGAACCGACUGGCGGUACCGAACCAGGCUGGAGCAGGCGGCAGCUCGCGGCUGACGGCCGCGGGGCCAGCGGCGGACGGGCGGGGCCGCGGCCGGCGGAGCGCGGAUUGGGUGCGAGGCCUGCUCGCCCGAGGCCCGCCCGGGGCUAACGCUGGGACGGACGUCAGGGGCCGCGGUUCCCAUGGUGACGGCCCCCCCACCGGACAGGCGGGGCCCACCAUGGUUCCCAUAGAGACACGGCCUGCAGCCACGAACAGGAAGACGGGCGGGUUGGCGUUGUUCUAAUGACAGUCACAUAGGUCAUCAGUGUGAGGAGUAUAUAAACCUGAAGCAUCACAUGGAGAGAAAAACCCAAGAAGUAGAAGGAGAGCUUGCUUGUCAGAAACAGGCUGAAGCUGGUCUACAGAAGACAGGCUACAGGUUGCAUGAAAUGGAAACUCUUUUUUCUGCUAUGACUGGUGAGGGAGAACAGACAAUACAAGCAUCAUCGUUGAACUGUGGUAUUUUACCUGAAGGAGAGAAACAGAUACUUCAAUAUGAUGAUAAAAGUUAUCUUAGAAAAGGUAUUCCAAUCUUGGAAAUACAGAAGCUGAAGGAGCAGAAUGCCAGCCUUCGGGCUGCUGUUGCACAAAUGAGGAAAGAAAUGGAGAGUCUGGAUGAACAGAUGCAGUCCUCUCUUCCUCUGACGGAACAAACUAUCACUGGCCUAACUGCAGAAAUCUCGUCACUCACUCCUGGUUCAUUUUGCACAGACCAAGUUUCAGUUAGAACCACGUUGAACAACAUCAAUGUCAGCUCAAAUAACUUGGGUUGUAUAAUAAACCCAAACACAGAAAAGGGGUCAAAAACCAAAGCUCUUGAACAAAAGACGGUCGAUUUUGGCCCUAUCUCAGAUAAUUGUUGUCCUGGUGUUAGUCUUCAGUAUGGUUUCAGCUGCCCUCUACACGGAAUGCAAAAUAUACUGAACGAAGCAGCAAGGAAAAUAUCAGUUCUGAGCCAAGAGAAGCAGCAGCUGAUUGAAAUGGGAAACAGACCCAGAACAGAUAUUGGAAUGGUAUUAAAGGAAGGACUUUGGCAUCCCAUUAGCUCUAAGCGCUGCACAGUUUGUGUUGCCUCUGGUAGCCUUUCUCCAAGAGAGCUUCUCAAAAGAACACAGUGUCAGCUUUCAGCUUUAAAGCAUCUACAACACAGACUUGCAACACAGGAGCUGCAGUAUGCAAAGCAACAACAUCUCUCAAGGAUCUCUUCCGUAAUUGCCUGCCCUAACUUAAAGGGAGAAAAAGCUCCAAGCAGCUGUGGGGAAGAAACAGAAUUACCAUCUGCUCAGGUUAAGCUAGAUAUCUCUACUGGAAAUUGUGGGCCAGAGCAACAAAAGGCACAUGCAUCCUCAAAGAUGGUUCAAAGUCAGCCGCUCAAGGAAAGUCCUAGUCAAGCCCAGCAGACCUGGAUUUCUUCAUCUAGAGCACAUAGAUCUUGCCAAGGUAUUUGGCAAACCUUAGAAAUGAGAUCAAGCCCUUCUAUUCUCAAUUCUCAAAACAACACUAAACAAGGUAAGCAUGCUGUGCAAAGUAAUUUGACUCAUCUAGAAGAAAACAAGUAUAGUAGUGGACUCUGCCACAUUCCGCUAAUUAUUUUUACAUAA